GCCUGGGUGGCUCAGUCAUUUAAGUGUCUGACUUCAGCUCAGGUCAUGAUCUCAUGGUUUGUGAGUUCAAGCCCCACCUCGGGCU
rnacentral:tRNA from 1 species